CACGUAGGGCGCAAGCGUUGUCCGGAAUUAUUGGGCGUAAAGAGCUCGUAGGCGGACUGUCACGUCCGCUGUGAAAAGCUAGGGCUUAACCCUGGCCUUGCAGUGGAUACGGGCAGACUAGAGGUAGGUAGGGGAGAAUGGAAUUUCCGGUGUAGCGGUGAAAUGCGUAGAGAUCGGGAGGAACACCAGAGGCGAAAGCGGCGACCUGGACAGGCACUGACACUCAACUACGAAAGCGUGGGGAGCAAACAGG
rnacentral:rRNA from 1 species